AGGCAGGGAAUGGAUCCACAAAUGACAUAUAUCCAUCAAACUCAAAGUGGGCAGGGAAUAGAUCCACGGAUGCCAUAUAUCCAUCAAACUCAAAGUGGAGCAAAAGGAAGGCUGCAUAUUAUGCACUUGACACAGCAGUCAAAUUCGGGACCCUUUCCACCUUCGGCCUCUGCACUAUUAUGUGACAAUAUUUAUAUGAGAGAACCAAAUAAAUUCAUAAAGAAAUACUAAUGAUAUUGUACGCACAGUCUAACAAUGUUGAUUGGACUACUUUUUUUCUUUCUUGUUCAUGUAAUCUUUAUCUUUUGUUUUUGGGUGGAUAUGUUUACCGUGAAAGACAAAAUAUAAAAUGAUGUACGUAGUACUAAGAGAUAACUAAUUAUACAUUAUUUUUUUUUUCUUAUUUUAUUCUCUGUGUUUAAAAGAACCGUA